rnacentral:lncRNA from 1 species
UUUAGCAAAACUUCCGACCGAAAUCGAUCGGAAACUAAUUUUUUUACCCAGAAAUGCACAGUUUCCGACCGAAAUCGGUCGGAAAUUUCAAAUAAACUCCCCAGAUUAUUGAAAUUCCCGACCGAUAUCAGUCGGAAAUUAUGAAUUUAUAUUUAUUUCUUUAGUAAAUUAAUGAUUUACAAAAAUUAUUUAAUUAAAUAAUCUUAUUAAUAUUUAAUAGUUUCCACCGAUUCGGUCGGAAAGAUAAUUAAAAAAAAUAAAUAUUAAUAUUUUUCGAUCGAUUUCGGUCGGAAAUUUGAAAAUUAAUUCCCACUCAAUCAAUUGAAUUUUCCGACCUAUUGUGGUCGGCCUGUUUUUGCGACUAUUAUUUUUCCCUCCAAUUAAAAGUGGUCGAAAAUUGAUAAUUUCUGGCCAAUUUUGGUUGGAAAUUUUUGACGAAAAUUACCUAAUUUCUAGUAGUGUUAAUUUUGGCUAAUGAAUGGUAGAGAACUUUCGGUUACCCGUACAUGUUGAUAAAGAAACAAUGGCUAGCUUGCCAGAUAUUACAUGUUUUAUAACUUUUUCUUUAUGUUACUUAUUGGAUAAGGCUGAAUGAAAGUACUCACAAGGAGGGCUUAAACCGAUUUGUGCUUCAAGAAGUUGAGAUUCUUACCGUUCAUGAUACAAUUUGGUUCUUCCUAAUCUUUUCUAAUUAGAUUAUUCAUCUACUAUACAUAUGAUAUUGCCUCCAUUGAGUAAAAAAGGGUAUAUUACGUUAAGUAAUAAUUUAGUUAUUUCUAUGGUUUCUUUUGAUUACUUGUUGCUUAUUAUUUUAUUUGAUUUUGUAGGCACAUCUAUCAGAACUAUGCCACAUUGUAUAAGAGCCCAAAAAGAAUGUAACAUACUAUUAGUCAGCAUUAUUUCUAGGAUUUAUUGUAGAUAUUUCCCUUAUUAUAGUGAAUGGAUGUAUACUACUGUCAAAAUUCUAAUACAUUUUCUG